rnacentral:rRNA from 1 species
CGUCUAUAUACGUAUAGCAUAUCAAUAAGCGGAGGAAAAGAAACUAACAAGGAUUCCCCUAGUAACGGCGAGUGAAGCGGGAAGAGCUCAAAUUUGAAAUCUUCAAGGGUUUCCCUUGACGAAUUGUAGUUUAAAGAAGUGUUUUCUGUUAGAGAGGUGGUAAAAGUUCUUUGGAAUAGGACAUCAUAGAGGGUGAGAAUCCCGUAUUUGAUCACUUUCUACUAACGUUGUGAUACACUUUCAAAGAGUCGGAUUGUUUGGGAAUGCAGUCCAAAAUGGGUGGUAAAUUUCAUCUAAAGCUAAAUAUUGGCGAGAGACCGAUAGCGAACAAGUACCGUGAGGGAAAGAUGAAAAGAACUUUGAAAAGAGAGUUAAACAGUACGUGAAAUUGCCAAAAGGGAAGCGUUUGACACCAGUGUUGUUUUUCCGAAAAUCAAUUAAGAAUGGCUGGAUUUUAAGUUUCAUGACCUUAAAAGCUUGUUUCUUAUUUUUCUUGUCUUUCUUAAUGCACUUUUCGGUUAACAAGUCAACAUCAAUUUCUUUUGUUGUAAAAGGUUAAGAGGAAGGUGGCUUUACUUUCGGGUAAAGUGUUUAUAGCCUUUUAACUCUGCAAUCGGAGAGAUUGAGGUCUGCAGCGUAGAUCCUUCGGGGCUAGAUACGUUUGUGCUAAGUUAUAGCCUUUCAUAGACAACUUGUUGACUAUGUUUAGUCUUGUAGCUUACUCGCUUAUGCUAUUUUACCUACGCUUAGGAUGU